rnacentral:lncRNA from 1 species
GAAAGAGGGAGAAGAUGCCUCUGACCCCGCCCGGGACCCGCCAGCAUUACCUUCCCCGUCAGGUGAGUGCGAGGGGGUGGGGCCAGAUGGUGGGCGGGGCCUAGUACUGGGUUCUGCCGAGGAUGACUGACCCAUGCCUCAGUUUCCCCAUCCUGAAGCGGGACGCUGAUGACGCGUCGCUCUCUUCCAGUUCCCGAAUGGGAGAGAAUCCGACCCCGUCGAGCCCCCGGCCCACCCCUCCCGGGCGUCUUCGCGCUGCUCCUGGGGGGAUGGCGACGUGUCCUCCAUCAGCUACGAGGAGCAUCUGCGCAUCCACGGCCCCCCCGCCCCCUGGCCUGGGCUUCCUGGAGACAGCAGAGGCCCCGGGCUCCCAUCUCUGGCCAGCUGGCAGGGCCCCAGGACAGCGCGCAGUGCCACGCGGGUGUGACUGGCACGGGAGAGCCAGCGUGGGAGCCAGGCGUCCGGGAGAGCCUUAUAGGGACCUGAGUGCCAGCAAUGAACCCAGGUGUCCGGGAGGCAUCGAUAGAAUGGACUGAGCCUGUAUAGGACGAGGCUCUGUGGAGCCCCCCUGAGUGUCCCCUGGCCCUGUGCUGGCCCCG